rnacentral:lncRNA from 1 species
UGUCCAAAAUUAUAAUUUCAUAUAGUAAGGUGCUGCUACGAUACCGGGUAUUAACUCGAUCGCUAUUACGAUUCAACGUCCGAUCGAUUAAAACUAUCCAACGAAUGUUUAAGUUAAACAGGCUAAUCAGUAGAUUAAACUCCGCCCGUAUAAAUCUGCAAGGUGAUCUGUUGUGAUCCAAGAAAAGUGCCGUGAAGCACUACAAGCUUAAGGAAGUGGCUCAAUAUA